UACGGAGGGAGCUAGCGUUAUUCGGAAUUACUGGGCGUAAAGCGCACGUAGGCGGCUUUGUAAGUAAGAGGUGAAAGCCUGGAGCUCAACUCCAGAACUGCCUUUUAGACUGCAUCGCUUGAAUCCAGGAGAGGUGAGUGGAAUUCCGAGUGUAGAGGUGAAAUUCGUAGAUAUUCGGAAGAACACCAGUGGCGAAGGCGGCUCACUGGACUGGUAUUGACGCUGAGGUGCGAAAAGCGUGGGGAGCAAACAGGG
rnacentral:rRNA from 1 species